rnacentral:lncRNA from 10 species
UUUUCACCAACAGGAAGAGGAACCAGGAUCAGUCCACUUAGAUGUACUGACUGCAUCAUUUAGUCCUCAGCACAAGGGGGCGAUCUUAUCACCAACCUACGGAUAAGGAAUCUGGCUGGGAAGGACUGAAUGACCUGCUCAAGGUCACACAUCUAGAAAGAGGCACCUUUAGGACUUGAAUGAGAUGACUUUUAUAUCAAUGCCUGGGCUCCUAAUCGCCAUGCUGUCUUGACCGUCUGCAACAAACCCUUCACUCGACAAAUGGGGAUGUUAAGGCCCAGAAAGGCAAAGAAAGUUCCCCAAGGUCACAAGAUCAAUUGGCCACAUAGUUGAGGCUGGCUAAGAGAAAAGAAUAAUUUCUUGCUGGAUUCUUGGGAGAACCAUACAGGAAUAAGCUCAUGGUUUCGACUUUGUUGGUUCUCUAGCAGGACGCAGGUAUCCUCAAGGUCACAGACCCCUGAUCUCCAUUCCCCUGGACAUCUCAAGGGCACAAAUUCUCUGGACACACGGAGGGAAUAAUGCUGACAUUUUAUAGAAGCUGACCCACUGGAUAUCCUUCUCACCCAACUCCAUUAGGCUGGGGAGAGUAAGAGGCACGGUGACAAGGUGGCAAAGAUGUCACCAUGCCAUCCAAUCACGAGGUCUCCAGGAAACUGUAUAAGAAGGACACCUCCAGAAACUCCUGGCACUACUGAACAAAUGUAUAAUAUCCCUGGGUAAAACCAAGAGUC